rnacentral:rRNA from 1 species
GACGAACGCUGGCUGCGUGCUUAACACAUGCAAGUCGAACGACGUGGCGAACGGGUGAGUAACGCGUAAUCAACCUGCCCUUCAGAGGGGGCCAACAGUUGGAAACGACUGCUAAUACCGCAUACUGAAGGAGGGGAUUGCGUCUGAUUAGCUAGUUGGAGGGGUAACGGCCAACCAAGGCGAUGAUCAGUAGCCGGUCUGAGAGGAUGAACGGCCAAAUUGAGACUGAGACACGGCCCAGACUCCUACGGGAGGCAGCAGUGGGGAAUGUUCAGCAAUGGACGAAAGGCUGAAGGAGCAACGCAGCGUGAGGGAUGACGGACUUCGGGUUGUAAAGCUCUGUUAAUCGGGACGCGGUACCGGAAUAGAAAGCCACGGCUAACUACGUGCCAGCAGCCGCGGUAAUUC